UUCCGGUUGAUCCUGCCGGACCACACUGCUAUAGGGAUGGGACUAAGCCAUGCAAGUUUGUGUCUUUAAGCUAUGGAAGAGACACGGCGGACCGCUCAGUAACACGUAGCUAACCUGCCCUUGGGACGGAAAUAACUCCUGGAAACUGGAGGUAAUGUUCGAUAGGAGAGAAAGUCUGGAAUGAAUUCUCCCCUAAAGAAUGUCGAAGCCAUGCUUUCGAUAUUGCCCAAGGAUGGGGCUGCGGACGAUCAGGUUGUUGGUGAGGUAACGGCUCACCAAGCCUAUGACCGAUACGGGCCAUGAGAGUGGUAGCCCGGAGAUGGGCACUGAGACAAGGGCCCAGGUCCUACGGGACGCAGCAGGUACGAAAACUCCGCAAUGCGCGUAAGCGUGACGGGGCUAUCCCUAGUGCUAUUCGCUGAGAGUGGCUUUUUUCUGAUGUAAGUAGUCGGAAGAAUAAGGGGAGGGCAAGUCUGGUGUCAGCCGCCGCGGUAAUACCAGCUCCCCGAGUGGUGUGGGUAAUUAUUGGGCCUAAAGCGUUCGUAGCCGGUUCAGUUAGUUUUUUGUUAAAUCCAAUGAUCUAAUCGUUGGGCUGCAAAAAAUACUGCUGGACUAGGAGGCGGAAGAAGUCGACGGUACUCUCGGGGUAGGGGUGAAAUCCUAUAAUCCUGCGAGGACCACCAGUGGCGUAGGCGGUCGACUAGAACGCGCUCGACGGUGAGGGACGAAAGCUGGGGGAGCGAACCGGAUUAGAUACCCGGGUAGUCCCAGCUGUAAACGAUGCAGGCUAGGUGUUGGCGUGAUUAUGGGUCACGUCAGUGCCGCAGGAAAGCCGAUAAGCCUGCCGCCUGGGAGUACGGUCGCAAGACUGAAACUUAAAGGAAUUGGCGGGGGAGCACACAAGGUGAAGCUUGCGUUCAAUUGGACUCAACGCCG
rnacentral:rRNA from 1 species